rnacentral:rRNA from 1 species
GCGAUCCCAGGUCAGGCGGGGCUACCCGCUGAGUUUAAGCAUAUCAAUAAGCGGAGGAAAAGAAACUAACGAGGAUUCCCUUAGUAGCGGCGAGCGAACCGGGAGGAGCCCAGCAUGAAAAUCGUUCGUCGUUGGCGGUCGAAUUGUAGUCUGGAGAAGCGUCCUCAGUGACGGACCGGACCCAAGUUCGCUGGAAGGCGGCGCCGGAGAGGGUGAGAGCCCCGUCGUGCCCGGACCC